CGGGGAUACCUUAGUACGGCGAGUGAAGCGGUAAAAGCUCAAAUUUGAAAUCUGGUACUUUCAGUGCCCGAGUUGUAAUUUGUAGAAUUUGUCUUUGAUUAGGUCCUUGUCUAUGUUCCUUGGAACAGGACGUCAUAGAGGGUGAGAAUCCCGUUUGGCGAGGAUACCUUUUCUCUGUAAGACUUUUUCGAAGAGUCGAGUUGUUUGGGAAUGCAGCUCAAAGUGGGUGGUAAAUUCCAUCUAAAGCUAAAUAUUGGCGAGAGACCGAUAGCGAACAAGUACAGUGAUGGAAAGAUGAAAAGAACUUUGAAAAGAGAGUGAAAAAGUACGUGAAAUUGUUGAAAGGGAAGGGCAUUUGAUCAGACAUGGUGUUUUUUGCAUGCACUCGCCUCUCGUGGGCUUGGGCCUCUCAAAAAUUUCACUGGGCCAACAUCAGUUCUGGCAGCAGGAUAAAUCAUUAAGAAUGUAGCUACCUCGGUAGUGUUAUAGCUUAUUGGAAUACUGCUAGCUGGGAUUGAGGACUGCGCUUCGGCAAGGAUGUUGGCAUAAUGGUUAAAUGCCGCCCGUCUUGAACCACGGACCA
rnacentral:rRNA from 1 species